UACGUAGGGGGCAAGCGUUAUCCGGAUUUACUGGGUGUAAAGGGAGCGUAGACGGUUAUGCAAGUCAGAAGUGAAAGCCCAAAGCUCAACUUCGGGACUGCUUUUGAAACUGUGUAACUAGAGUGCAGGAGGGGUAAGCGGAAUUCCUAGUGUAGCGGUGAAAUGCGUAGAUAUUAGGAGGAACACCGGUGGCGAAGGCGGCUUACUGGACUGUAACUGACGUUGAGGCUCGAAAGCGUGGGGAGCAAACAGG
rnacentral:rRNA from 1 species